CCCUGCCGUUAGGAUUUCUGCCUGCUUACGAAGGAUACCGUUGUGGGGGCUGAGGAUGUAGCUCUAGUGUGAGGUUUGGUCUGCUGCUAUGUAUUGUAAUGCUGAACACUGGCCCCCACCAAGCUCAGUUGCCUCAAGGAUCAGAGAAUCUUCCUGCUGACUCAGGUGACACUGUGUGACCUGCCCCCCAAGUUAUCCCUGAUUGGUACCCUGGCUGUAUCAGAGCAGAGUAAGCAGAAGAUGGAGAACUCGGCUCCUCCAGCACCACGCCUGCCUAGAUGCUGCCUGGAUGCUGCCUGGAUGCUGCCCUGCUCCCGCCUUGAUGAUAAUGGACUGACCCUCUGAACCUGGCAGGUGUGAAACCCAGUCUGUGAACAACCCUUGAGGUCCUCAUCUUGGCUUUGCUGGCAUCCAGCUCUUGCAGCUGCUCAUCCAGUUCCAUGAACAUCUCACGCUCCAGAUCCUCCCGACCUAACUAAGCGCUCUGCCCCCUCUCCAGAUGAGUCAUCUUCAAAGACUGUGAUCCAUAUUGGCUGUUCCUGAAAAACUCUUUGGCUGAGUGCUUUCCACAUAGCUCAGGUUGGUCUCAAAGUCAUGGCUAUCCUCCUGCCUCAGAUCCUCCAGUGACUGGAUUACAGGCAUGUGCCACAUGGCACAACUUGGCCUGUUGUUUUGUUUUGUUUUGUUUUUGGUACUGGGGAUUGAACCCAGACCUUUUUUGCACAUGCUAGCCAAGCAAUCUAUUCUUUUCUUUUUUAUGGAUGUGUGUGGUUACCUACGUAAGGAUGUGUGUGCAGGAGCGACAGAGGUCAGAAGAGAGCACCACAUCCCCUGGAACUGGAGUUACAGGCAGAUGCAAGCUGCCAUCUUGGUGCUGGAAAUAAAUAUGCAACUUCUAUAAGAGCAGUACGUACUCUUAAUGGCUGAGCUCUCUUGAGUCCCCUGCUUGGAUUUUUUAAAAACUAAUUUUAUUAGAGAAUACAUUACUUCCUUUCAGACCUAUGAGGAUAUGCCUUUUGCAAAGCAUUUCCUUUAUCCCUCUCCAGAAGAGAAAAGGAAACAGAAGUGGGGGCUGAUACAGAACUCCAACUCCUAUUAAUGGAUGCAAAGUACCCAGGAUGUCAUAAAAUGAGCCCAGUCUUCGGCCAUAAACAAAAGGCAGUCUUGUGUGUUGGCUGCUGCAUUGCCCUGUCAGCCUACAGAAGGAAAAGGAAGGCUGGCCGUUCCGCAGGACACAGCACUAAAAGCACCCUGGUUCAAGAUGAGUGGGAAGCCAUCCCAGUAAACACAUCAUGAAUUUAAAACAAAACAGCAUUACUUCAAAUGAGAUAAUUUUUAAAUAUAUAUUUUGAUGAAUUUGA
rnacentral:sRNA from 1 species